ensembl:rRNA 5S_rRNA 5S ribosomal RNA
GUCUACGGCCACACCACCCUGAACGCGCCCGAUCUCGUCCGAUCUCCGAAGCUAAGCAGGGCCUGAUUAGUACUUGGAUGGGAGACCCCACACAUAGUAUGAGACCCACCACAAGAGCAACAAGAGGUAGUUA